rnacentral:tmRNA from 1 species
GGGGGCGAAUAUGGUUUCGACAUGAAUGUCAAAAUCUAAGGUGCAUGCCGAGGAAGUACCGUAACCUCGUUAAUAACAGUACAAAUGCCAAUAAUAACUGGCAACAAA